rnacentral:rRNA from 1 species
GGGCCCGCACAAGCGGAGGAACAUGUGGUUUAAUUCGAUGAUACGCGAGGAACCUUACCCGGGCUUGAAUUGCACAGGACGGCAUCAGAGAGGAUGCUUUCUUCGGACCUGUGUGAAGGUGCUGCAUGGUUGUCGUCAGCUCGUGCCGUGAGGUGUCGGCUUAAGUGCCAUAACGAGCGCAACCCUUAUUUACGGUUGCCAUCAGGUAAAGCUGGGCACUCCGUAGACACUGCCAUCGUAAGAUGAGAGGAAGGUGGGGAUGACGUCAAAUCAGCACGGCCCUUACGUCCGGGGCUACACACGUGUUACAAUGGAUGGUACAGAAGGCAGCGCCCUGGUAACAGGAAGCCAAUCCUGAAAGCCAUUCUCAGUUCGGACUGGAGUCUGCAACCCGACUCCACGAAGCUGGAUUCGCUAGUAAUCGCGCAUCAGCCAUGGCGCGGUGAAUACGUUCCCGGGCCUU